UACGUAGGUGGCGAGCGUUGUCCGGAAUUACUGGGUGUAAAGGGCGUGUAGGCGGGGAUGCAAGUCAGAUGUGAAAUACCGAGGCUUAACUUCGGGGGUGCAUCUGAAACUGUAUUUCUUGAGUGUCGGAGAGGAAAGUGGAAUUCCUAGUGUAGCGGUGAAAUGCGUAGAUAUUAGGAGGAACACCAGUGGCGAAGGCGACUUUCUGGACGAUAACUGACGCUGAGGCGCGAAAGCGUGGGGAGCAAACAGGAUUAGAUACCCUGGUAGUCCACGCCGUAAACGAUGGAUACUAGGUGUAGGAGGUAUCGACCCCUUCUGUGCCGCAGUUAACACAAUAAGUAUCCCACCUGGGGAGUACGGCCGCAAGGCUGAAACUCAAAGGAAUUGACGGGGGCCCGCACAAGCAGUGGAGUAUGUGGUUUAAUUCGAAGCAACGCGAAGAACCUUACCAGGGCUUGACAUGCAGGUGAAUAAUGUAGAGAUACAUUAGGCCUUCGGGACACCUGUGCAGGUGGUGCAUGGUU
rnacentral:rRNA from 1 species